AAGCAAGCUCUUCGAGAUCCAUCUAAGAUGGUGACUGUGGAACUGGAAACCACCCCUACACCUAAUCCCCCACCUACAGAAGAAGAGAAAACAGAAUCUCGUCAGGAGGUUGCUAACCCAGAACACUAUAUUAAACAUCCUUUACAGAACAGAUGGACACUCUGGAUUUUUUUAAAUGAUAAAAGCAAAACUUGGCAAGCAAACCUUCAGCUGAUCUCUAAGUCUGAUACUGUUGAAGACUUCUGGGCUCUGUACAACCAUAUCCAGUUGUCUAGCAGUUUAAUGCCUGGCUGUGACUACGCACUUUUUAAGGAUGGUAUUGAGCCUAUGUGGGAAGAUGAGAAAAACAAACGAGGAGGACGAUGGCUAAUUACAUUGAACAAACAGCAGAGACCAAGUGACCUCGACUGCUUUCGGCUAGAGACACUGCUGUACCUUAUUGGAGAGUCUUUUGACAACUACAGUGAUGACGUAUGUGGAGCUGUUAACGUUAGAGCUAAAGGUGAAAAAACAGCAAUGUGGACUACUGAAUGUGAAAACUGAGAAGCUGUUACACAUAUAGGGAGGGUAGACAAGGAAAGGUGAGGUCUUCCUCCAAGGAUAGUGAUUGGUUACCAGUCCCAUGCAGACACAGCUACUCAGAGCGGCUCCACCACUAAAAAUAGGUUUGCUGUUUAA